GACGAAUGCUGGCGGUGUGCUUAACACAUGCAAGUCGAACGGUAAGGCCCUUUCGGGGGUACACGAGUGGCGAACGGGUGAGUAACACGUGAGUAACCUGCCCUCAUCUCUGGGAUAACAGUCGGAAACGGUUGCUAAUACUGGAUAUGAGCUUGCAAGGCAUCUUGUGGGUUGGAAAGAUUUUUUUGGUUGGGGAUGGACUCGCGGCCUAUCAGCUUGUUGGUGAGGUAGUGGCUCACCAAGGCUUCGACGGGUAGCCGGCCUGAGAGGGCGACCGGCCACAGUGGGACUGAGAUACGGCCCAAACUCCUACGGGAGGCAGCAGUGGGGAAUAUUGCACAAUGGACGGAAGUCUGAUGCAGCAACGCCGCGUGCGGGAUGACGGCCUUCGGGUUGUAAACCGCUUUCAAUUGUGACGAAGCUUUUUGUGACGGUAGCAGUAGAAGAAGCACCGGCUAACUACGUG
rnacentral:rRNA from 1 species